UGGUGGGUAGUUUGACUGGGGCGGUCUCCUCCCAAAGAGUAACGGAGGAGCACGAAGGUUAGCUAAUCCUGGUCGGACAUCAGGAGGUUAGUGCAAUGGCAUAAGCUAGCUUGACUGCGAGAGUGACGGCUCGAGCAGGUGCGAAAGCAGGUCAUAGUGAUCCGGUGGUUCUGAAUGGAAGGGCCAUCGCUCAACGGAUAAAAGGUACUCCGGGGAUAACAGGCUGAUACCGCCCAAGAGUUCAUAUCGACGGCGGUGUUUGGCACCUCGAUGUCGGCUCAUCACAUCCUGGGGCUGAAGUAGGUCCCAAGGGUAUGGCUGUUCGCCAUUUAAAGUGGUACGCGAGCUGGGUUUAGAACGUCGUGAGACAGUUCGGUCCCUAUCUGCCGUGGGCGCUGGAGAAUUGAGGGGGGCUGCUCCUAGUACGAGAGGACCGGAGUGGACGCAUCACUGGUGUUCGGGUUGUCAUGCCAAUGGCACUGCCCGGUAGCUAAAUGCGGAAAAGAUAAGUGCUGAAAGCAUCUAAGCACGAAACUUGCCCCGAGAUGAGUUCUCCCUGACCCUUUAAGGGUCCUGAAGGAACGUUGAAGACUACGACGUUGAUAGGUCGGGUGUGUAAGCGCAGCGAUGCGUUGAGCUAACCGAUACUAAUGAACCGUGAGGCUUAACCUU
rnacentral:rRNA from 1 species